rnacentral:lncRNA from 1 species
GCACUGGCUCUGGCUCCUGGCCCAGUGCCCGUGCCCGCGGUGCUGAGAGAAGGGAUGGAGACGCAGCUCCGCCCGGGAGGACGGGAGCCAGGGCAGAGGAGGCGGGUGAGCCAAGGCAGAGUUAUGUGGGGGGUGGGGGUGGGGGGGACGCGGGUUCCCCCAUGAGUUUCUGCGGGAUGCUGACCCACCCAGCCCAGCCCUCGGCCUCCAGCACCCCCUCCUGUGGGCAGGGCUUCCUCUGCCCACACCUCCUCCACUCCCUCUCGUCUCCCCUGCGGCUCCUGCUGCAGCCCCUCGGCCUGCCCUGAUGGACAACCAGCCGGCACGGGUGAGGCCGCCCUCCUUGCUGGCCGCUGUGACAGUGGGUGUGUAAGUACCCUCCCCAGGGACCCUCUGCUCACGUACGUAUGUGACAGCCACUACCCCACCGUGGGCUGUGCACCCCGGGCCACCUCCCAUGCUGCAUAGUGAGGCUGUCUCGUAACGCAGCCCCUGCUGGCAGGGUCUAGACAGGCUGCCCUACACAGCCCUGCAAACCCUGGCCUAGCCGUGGGCUGACCGGGCCUUGUCACCCCCUACCCCCAUCUGCCUGGCCACAGCUCGCUCUGCUGGCCCUGCAACCGUGCUUGUUCCCCAGGCCUGGCUUGCAGGCCGCUGUGAACACCGACAGGAGACUUCAGACACCUGCUUAAUCGCAGCUGUGAGCGGCUCCUUCCCAGGCACGGGCUCCAAGCCCAGGCCUUUCUUCUCCAGGCCUGAGGCCCUUGUGUGAUGCGUUUGAAGACCGGGCUUUGUCUGGAAGGAGGCACGACCCGUGCCCCAGCCCUGGAUGCAGGAACCGCCCAGGCCUCCGGGUUUCUCUUCCUGGAACCCUCCACGGCUCCCUCGUGCUGCUGAGUGGGGAUGAGAUGGGGCCUUAGGGGGACCUGACCCUGCUCAGCCCUGCUUGUUAAGGGGGACAGCUGCCUCCACCACCGAGAAGGCCGAGGAAGCGCCUCCAGCUCCCACG